GCUCCGUUGGUGAACCAGCGGAGGGAUCAUUACCGAGUUUACAACUCCCAAACCCAAUGUGAACCAUACCAAACUGUUGCCUCGGCGGGGUCACGCCCCGGGUGCGUCGCAGCCCCGGAACCAGGCGCCCGCCGGAGGGACCAACCAAACUCUUUCUGUAGUCCCCUCGCGGACGUUAUUUUUACAGCUCUGAGCAAAAAUUCAAAAUGAAUCAAAACUUUCAACAACGGAUCUCUUGGUUCUG
rnacentral:misc_RNA from 1 species